AGAGUUUGAUCCUGGCUCAGGGCGAACGCUGGCGGCAGGCUUAACACAUGCAAGUCGAGCGGGCGUAGCAAUACGUCAGCGGCAGACGGGUGAGUAACGCGUGGGAACGUACCUUUUGGUUCGGAACAACCCAGGGAAACUUGGACUAAUACCGGAUAAGCCCUUACGGGGAAAGAUUUAUCGCCGAAAGAUCGGCCCGCGUCUGAUUAGCUAGUUGGUGAGGUAAUGGCUCACCAAGGCGACGAUCAGUAGCUGGUCUGAGAGGAUGAUCAGCCACAUUGGGACUGAGACACGGCCCAAACUCCUACGGGAGGCAGCAGUGGGGAAUAUUGGACAAUGGGCGCAAGCCUGAUCCAGCCACGCCGCGUGAGUGAUGAAGGCCCUAGGGUUGUAAAGCUCUUUUGUGCGGGAAGAUAAUGACGGUACCGCAAGAAUAAGCCCCGGCUAACUUCGUGCCAGCAGCCGCGGUAAUACGAAGGGGGCUAGCGUUGCUCGGAAUCACUGGGCGUAAAGGGUGCGUAGGCGGGUCUUUAAGUCAGGGGUGAAAUCCUGGAGCUCAACUCCAGAACUGCCUUUGAUACUGAAGAUCUUGAGUUCGGGAGAGGUGAGUGGAACUGCGAGUGUAGAGGUGAAAUUCGUAGAUAUUCGCAAGAACACCAGUGGCGAAGGCGGCUCACUGGCCCGAUACUGACGCUGAGGCACGAAAGCGUGGGGAGCAAACAGGAUUAGAUACCCCGGUAGUCC
rnacentral:rRNA from 1 species